rnacentral:rRNA from 1 species
GAUGAACGCUGGCGGCGUGCCUAAUACAUGCGAGUCGAGCGAACAGACGAGGAGCUUGCUCCUCUGACGUUAGCGGCGGACGGGUGAGUAACACGUGGAUAACCUACCUAUAAGACUGGGAUAACUUCGGGAAACCGGAGCUAAUACCGGAUAAUAUAUAGAACCGCAUGGUUCAAUAGUGAAAGACGGUUUUGCUGUCACUUAUAGAUGGAUCCGCGCCGCAUUAGCUAGUUGGUAAGGUAACGGCUUACCAAGGCAACGAUGCGUAGCCGACCUGAGAGGGUGAUCGGCCACACUGGAACUGAGACACGGUCCAGACUCCUACGGGAGGCAGCAGUAGGGAAUCUUCCGCAAUGGGCGAAAGCCUGACGGAGCAACGCCGCGUGAGUGAUGAAGGUCUUCGGAUCGUAAAACUCUGUUAUUAGGGAAGAACAAAUGUGUAAGUAACUAUGCACGUCUUGACGGUACCUAAUCAGAAAGCCACGGCUAACUACGUG